rnacentral:lncRNA from 1 species
CAAACAAUUACAAGAACAAAUUCCAAUUAUAUUUAUUUAUGAAUUAGAGACGUGUAAGAUCAGAAUAGAAACGCAUUUGUUUACUUACUGCAGCCACAGAAUCGCAGAACAUCAGAUCGCUCACAGUGGCGCACCGUCGUUUACAUAGGCCUACAAACAAAACAUGUCCUCGCGCAACCCGCCAAAACAGUCAACUAGGCCUACACUCGUUCUAUACCCAGACAGCAACAUAGUGUUGGCCCAGAUCCGCUGUCUGGGUAGUCAAACACAUUUCACAGUAUUCUCUCUUUUUUUUCUUUUCUUUACAGCAUUAUUUUUAUGUAGCCUAUAUCAGUGUAAAUACUGGAUCAUAUGUUUUCACUAACAAAGUAAUUACGCAAAAAAUUAACACAACGUACCGACAUCACACUCUGUGUAAUAGAUGAUUGUGACGUUACAGAUUAUGAGAUAGUAGAACAGAUUAUCAUGAAAUAUCACAGUUAUAGAAACAAUUGACAACAGCAACAUUUAAGUUUAAAGCAGCCAAAAAAAAUCCCAUAAUAAUGCUAUGUGCUUUCAUGUAAUUACACUGAAUAAACAGUUGAAACCCAUUUUAUUGACUUAAUGUGACGCAAUUCCAAGUGAAACAGAAUAUUCGGUAACACUUUACAAUAAGCUCCUUGUUGGCAUUAUUUAUACAUUAAAAUGUGUGAACAUUAGCAAAAUAUUGUUACACAAAAAAACAUCCAUUAUCCAUUCUCAUGGUAUAGCAGUGUAUGAAGCGCAAAGAAGUCAUUUUCAAAGCAAGAAUCUUUCUAUUAGUCUUGCCAGGGUUGCCAGGUCUGCAUAACAAAACCUGCCCAAUUGCUGCUCAAAACUCCAAUCACGGCCAAAACUGGAACGCGUUCGGUCUAAUCGCGAAACUGGCUAUUAAAAUCGAUCUAAAACACAAUGAGAACAGUUGAAAAAAAAAAAAAACAGCGGGAAAACCGCGGACAUGGCAACACUAGUAAGCGCGGGAACAAAUUGAACUUGGUGCGAAAUUUGUGUGGGACAAUCUUGCCCUCACUUGACUUUCCUAAUCUUGUGGAUUCCUAUUGAAAUGACGUGAUAAAAUUUAAUGUUUAAUUUAUCUUGUUACUUAAUUUCUUUGUAGUUGUUAGCCAUUUCUUGUUAGCCAUUUUCUAGUAUGAACUAACACACAAUAUUUUUAUUACAGCAUUUAUUAAUGUUAAUAUUCAUGUCGGUUCACAGAGCAUUAAUGUUAACAGAUACUUUUGAUUUCAAAACUAAUGUUUAAAUUAACAUUAAUUUAAAUUAACA